rnacentral:rRNA from 1 species
UGCAGUCGAGCGGACAGAUGGGAGCUUGCUCCCUGAUGUUAGCGGCGGACGGGUGAGUAACACGUGGGUAACCUGCCUGUAAGACUGGGAUAACUCCGGGAAACCGGGGCUAAUACCGGAUGGUUGUUUGAACCGCAUGGUUCAAACAUAAAAGGUGGCUUCGGCUACCACUUACAGAUGGACCCGCGGCGCAUUAGCUAGUUGGUGAGGUAACGGCUCACCAAGGCAACGAUGCGUAGCCGACCUGAGAGGGUGAUCGGCCACACUGGGACUGAGACACGGCCCAGACUCCUACGGGAGGCAGCAGUAGGGAAUCUUCCGCAAUGGACGAAAGUCUGACGGAGCAACGCCGCGUGAGUGAUGAAGGUUUUCGGAUCGUAAAGCUCUGUUGUUAGGGAAGAACAAGUACCGUUCGAAUAGGGCGGUACCUUGACGGUACCUAACCAGAAAGCCACGGCUAACUACGUGCCAGCAGCCGCGGUAAUACGUAGGUGGCAAGCGUUGUCCGGAAUUAUUGGGCGUAAAGGGCUCGCAGGCGGUUUCUUAAGUCUGAUGUGAAAGCCCCCGGCUCAACCGGGGAGGGUCAUUGGAAACUGGGGAACUUGAGUGCAGAAGAGGAGAGUGGAAUUCCACGUGUAGCGGUGAAAUGCGUAGAGAUGUGGAGGAACACCAGUGGCGAAGGCGACUCUCUGGUCUGUAACUGACGCUGAGGAGCGAAAGCGUGGGAGCGAACAGGAUUAGAUACCCUGGUAGUCCACGCCGUAAACGAUGAGUGCU